rnacentral:tRNA from 1 species
GGGGUUGUAGCUCAAUGGUAGAGUGCCUGUCAUGUGUGAGGCACUGGGUUCGAUCCUCAGCACCACA